rnacentral:rRNA from 1 species
UCUGGGUCCAACCUCCCACCCGUGUUUAUUUUACCUUGUUGCUUCGGCGGGCCCGCCUUAACUGGCCGCCGGGGGGCUUACGCCCCCGGGCCCGCGCCCGCCGAAGACACCCUCGAACUCUGUCUGAAGAUUGUAGUCUGAGUGAAAAUAUAAAUUAUUUAAAACUUUCAACAACGGAUCUCUUGGUUCCGGCAUCGAUGAAGAACGCAGCGAAAUGCGAUACGUAAUGUGAAUUGCAAAUUCAGUGAAUCAUCGAGUCUUUGAACGCACAUUGCGCCCCCUGGUAUUCCGGGGGGCAUGCCUGUCCGAGCGUCAUUUCUGCCCUCAAGCACGGCUUGUGUGUUGGGCCCCGUCCUCCGAUCCCGGGGGACGGGCCCGAAAGGCAGCGGCGGCACCGCGUCCGGUCCUCGAGCGUAUGGGGCUUUGUCACCCGCUCUGUAGGCCCGGCCGGCGCUUGCCGAUCAACCCAAAUUUUUAUCCAGGUUGACCUCGGAUCAGGUAGGGAUACCCG